rnacentral:rRNA from 1 species
CUACGGGGUGCACCAGGCGAGAAAACUUUGCAAUGUGCGAAAGCACGACAAGGUUAAUCCGAGUGGUUUGUGCUAAACGAACCUUUUGACAGUCCUAGAAACACUGUUGAAUAAGGGGUGGGCAAGUGUCUGGUGGUCAGCCGCCGCGGUAAAACCAGCACCUCAAGUGGUCAGGAUGAUUAUUGGGCCUAAAGCAUCCGUAGCCGGCUCUGUAAGUUUUCGGUUAAAUCUGUACGCUCAACGUACAGGCUGCCGGGAAUACUGCAGGGCUAGGGAGUGGGAGAGGUAGACGGUACUCGGUAGGAAGGGGUAAAAUCCUUUGAUCUAUUGAUGACCACCUGUGGCGAAGGCGGUCUACCAGAACACGUCCGACGGUGAGGGAUGAAAGCUGGGGGAGCAAACCGGAUUAGAUACCCCUGUAGUC